GACGAACCGUGCGAACGUUAUUCGGAAUCACUGGGCUUAAAGCGCGUGUAGGCGGGCCGCCGCGUCGUCUGCUGAAAUCCCCCGGCUCAACCGGGGAACGGGCGCCGAUACGGGCGGCCUCGAGGGGGGUAGGGGGGACUGGAACUUCCGGUGGAGCGGUGAAAUGCGUUGAGAUCGGAAGGAACGCCCGUGGCGAAAGCGAGUCCCUGGACCCUUUCUGACGCUGAGACGCGAAAGCCAGGGGAGCGAACGGG
rnacentral:rRNA from 1 species